rnacentral:rRNA from 1 species
UUCCAAGUCGUUGAUGGGCGUAGGCGGCUCUCUGGUCUGCAACUGACGCUGAGGCUCGAAAGCAUGGGUAGCGAACAGGAUUAGAUACCCUGGUAGUCCAUGCCGUAAACGAUGAGCGCUAGGUGUUGGGGACUUUCCGGUUCUCAGUGCCGCAGCAAACGCAUUAAGCGCUCCGCCUGGGGAGUACGACCGCAAGGUUGAAACUCAAAGGAAUUGACGGGGGCCCGCACAAGCGGUGGAGCAUGUGGUUUAAUUCAAAGCAACGCGAAAAACCUUACCAGGUCUUGACAUCCUGUAUUCCACUAUCCUCAGGUGGUUCCCUUCGGGCACGCACAGAAGGUGGCGCUGGAGUGACCAAAAAAUCUUGUCGGGGGAUGUUGGGUAAAUUCCCGCAA